rfam:Nicotiana sylvestris Nsyl_contig53100, whole genome shotgun sequence.
UGAACUUUUCAACUAGUGUAAUCAAGUGUAGUAGCUGUUCUUAUCAAUUUAAUAUCUGAUGUGUGGGCCAUCGGCUCACAUGAUAUUAACUCUUUUUACUUUUUGUUGUCAGAGCUCUUGAUAAAAACUUUUCCAUGUAUUCUUUAGAGCUGACAUGGGUACCUCAU